AACGAACGCUGGCGGCAUGCCUAACACAUGCAAGUCGAACGAGACCUUCGGGUCUAGUGGCGCUCGGGUGCGGAACGCGUGGGAACCUGCCCUUAGGUUCGGAAUAACUCCCCGAAAGGGGUGCUAAUACCGGAUAAUGUCUUCGGACCAAAGAUGUGUCGCCUUUGGAUGGGCCCGGGUUGGAUUCGCUAGUUGGUAGUGUAAAAGCCUACCAAGGCGACGAUCCAUAGCUGGUCUGAGAGGAUGAUAAGCCACACUGGCACUGAGACACGGCCCAGACUGCUACGGAAGGCAGCAGUGGGGAAUAUUGGACAAUGGGCGAAGACCUGAUCCAGCAAUGCGGGGUAAGUGAUGAAGGCCUUAGGGUUGUAAAGCUCUUUUACACGGGAUGAUAAUGACAGUACCGGGAGAAUAAGCUCCGGCUAACUCCGUG
rnacentral:rRNA from 1 species